ACAGAAAAGCUGGGGUCAGGUGGGCCACGGGCUCUGAUGGAGUCACAGACUACUGUAGCAACUUGGAACAGCAGUGAGUUUCUCAUAUACAGGAUAGGUCAGGAGGAGUUAGCCAGUCUUGGUAGGACACAUCUGUAGGCAAACAGUCUCAGGCUAGCAUCCGGGAGGAGGAGGAAGCUGCAGCUGUUAUUUUGUCACACAGGGACAAACAUCUGGACUUGGACCUGAGCAAGGCUUUGGCCCCAGGUUGGAGAAAGGCUCUGCUGAAUUCCCAUGGAGUUCCAUCCUUGACAUGGCUGUGCCCACGUCAACAAUACAUAUUCACUCUGAGAUUCUUUGGCUCAAUACACUCCAGAAGCCAAGGCCAGAUGUUCUUCCUCCUCGGGUCAGUUGGUCAGAAGGAAUCUCCCAGGACCUCACAGGUGUGGGAGAAGAGGCUCCCGUGAAAACAGAAAUGCUGAUCCGGCUUCUGUGGUGCACAUGCCUGACUGAACUGGUACGGCUGCUAAGACACAACCUACAAUGGAAAGUUCUGGUUGCAUGGACCUCCAUAACUCUUGCUGCUUCCCCUUCGUCAGGCUAGAUGAACACGUGAUCGUCGUCACAGUGAACCAGAAUGACAGUUCGUGUAAUGCAUCAGAACCCUGAGGUAAGACAGCGCAUGCGCUCCGGCCCCUGAGGAAAGACUGAGCAUGCGCACCGCCAUCUGUUCCAACUCAGCGAUUGCCUCUUCAUGUCACAUUCACCUUCUAUCCGUGCCGUGCGUGAUGCUGGAGCUGGCUGGGAAGACCACGGUUGCUUUCUGCUCUGCGCUGCCAGGAAAGAGCGCAGGGCAGAUGCUGGGAACGCAGCAGCAGGAAGAAGGGGCUUGCUUAUUUCUAUUGGCUUCCUGUUCCUGUAACGUCGCCCUGGCAACACUUCUUCACCCUGGCAUUAGCAGUGCCUUCCUUGGCAGCAGCUGAAUCCACUUUGCAGUUUUCCCAACGCUCCGGAGCUCCAGUUCCCAACACAAGGAUGCCCAUCCUCGGAGUUUCAGGCUCUCCAAACGCUUUCCCCGAACGCUUCCCCCGAACGCUUCCCCCAAAGCGGCUAAACUUGAGAGCAUUGCUGGCUUCUUCUGUUUCACUAGCCUUCUGUUCCUGAUGUUGCUUCCCGGCAGAUAAAGAACACUCCUGAAAGAAAGAAAGAAAGAAAGAAAGAAAGAAAGAAAGAGAGAGAGAGAGAGAGAGAGAGAGAGAGAGAGAGAGAAAGGGAGAAGAGGAAGAGAGGAGAGAGAGAGAGAGAGAGAAAGAAAGAUUUGUUUUAUUCGUGUGUGUACAGGCAUGGGUGUUAGUGUGUGUGUGUGUGUGUGUGUGUGUGUGUGUGUGUGUGUGUGAAGUUCAGGUACCCAUGGUGUUCAGAAGAGCAAAAACCCCUAGAGCGGGAGUUCCAGGUAGCCGUGAGCUUCCUGACAUGGUUGCUGGAAACAAAGCUCAGGCCCUCUGAAUGAGCACUAAGUGCUCUUGGCCACUGAGCCGGUCUCUACAGCCCUGAGCACUUCUUCUACCGUUUCUGUUCCACUUACAGAUGCUAUCCAUACCAUCAAUGAUUUACUGACAUUCUCAGCUUAUAUUAGUGCUGAGAUCUGUAUUGUGGUGGACUCUGAUGGUCUUCCCUUCAGUACCAGAAACCGCUCCAAGUAUCCUGUCCAGAGAGGUACUUUGUAUGCAUGUAUAUCUGGGCACCACACACAUGCCAGGUGCCUGUGGAGGCCAGAAGAGGGUAUCGGAUCCCCAGAACUGGGAUUACAGACGGUUGUGAGCCACCAUAU